UUUGAGUUAAGGAUUGUAAUGAAAAUCCUUUUGCCUUUUUCUGGCAAAAGAUUGUAAAGGAAAGCCUGCCCACGC
rfam:Dokdonia sp. 4H-3-7-5 chromosome, complete genome.